rnacentral:rRNA from 1 species
AUAAGGUUAAGUGAAUAAGGGCGCACGGUGGAUGCCUUGGCACUAGGAGCCGAUGAAGGACGGGACUAACACCGAUAUGCUUUGGGGAGCUGUACGUAAGCUAUGAUCCAGAGAUUUCCGAAUGGGGAAACCCAACAUCUUUUAUAGGAUGUUACGUUUGCGUGAAUACAUAGCGCAUUCGAGGUAGACGCAGAGAACUGAAACAUCUAAGUACCUGCAGGAAGAGAAAGAAAAUUCGAUUCCCUGAGUAGCGGCGAGCGAAACGGGAAAAGCCCAAACCAAUGAGCUUGCUCAUUGGGGUUGUAGGACUCCAAUAUGGUAGUUCUUUCAGAUAAUCGAAUGACUUGGAAAAGUCAGUCAAAGAGGGUAAAAACCCCGUAGAUGAAAUUUGGAAGGCACCUAGGAGGAUCCUGAGUACGGCGGAACACGAGGAAUUCCGUCGGAAUCCGGGAGGACCAUCUCCCAAGGCUAAAUACUCCCUAGUGACCGAUAGUGAACCAGUACCGUGAGGGAAAGGUGAAAAGCACCCCGGAAGGGGAGUGAAAUAGAACCUGAAACCGUGUGCCUACAACAAGUCAAAGCCCGUUAAUGGGUGAUGGCGUGCCUUUUGUAGAAUGAACCGGCGAGUUACGAUUGCAUGCGAGGUUAAGUCGAAGAGACGGAGCCGCAGCGAAAGCGAGUCUGAAUAGGGCGUUUGAGUAUGUAGUCGUAGACCCGAAACCAUGUGAUCUACCCAUGUCCAGGUUGAAGGUGCGGUAAAACGCACUGGAGGACCGAACCCACGUACGUUGAAAAGUGCGGGGAUGAGGUGUGGGUAGCGGAGAAAUUCCAAACGAACUUGGAGAUAGCUGGUUCUCUCCGAAAUAGCUUUAGGGCUAGCCUCGGAUUUGAGAAUGAUGGAGGUAGAGCACUGUUUGGACUAGGGGCCCAUCUCGGGUUACCGAAUUCAGAUAAACUCCGAAUGCCAUUCAUUCAUAUCCGGGAGUCAGACUGUGAGUGAUAAGAUCCAUAGUCGAAAGGGAAACAGCCCAGACCACCAGCUAAGGUCCCAAAAUAUAUGUUAAGUGGAAAAGGAUGUGGGGUUGCACAGACAACUAGGAUGUUGGCUCAGAAGCAGCCACCAUUUAAAGAGUGCGUAAUAGCUCACUAGUCGAGUGACCCUGCGCCGAAAAUGUACCGGGGCUAAACAUAUUACCGAAGCUGUGGAGUACACCAUUAGGUGUAUUGGUAGGAGAGCGUUCUAAGGGCGUUGAAGGCAGAUCGUGAGGACUGCUGGAGCGCUUAGAAGUGAGAAUGCCGGUAUGAGUAGCGAAAGACAGGUGAGAAUCCUGUCCACCGAAUGACUAAGGUUUCCUGGGGAAGGCUCGUCCGCCCAGGGUUAGUCGGGACCUAAGCCGAGGCCGACAGGCGUAGGCGAUGGACAACAGGUUGAUAUUCCUGUACUCGUUGUUUUUGUUUGAGCAAUGGAGGGACGCAGGAGGCUAAGGAAUGCAGACGAUUGGAAAUGUCUGUCCAAGCAGUAAGUCUUGAUAGGAGUCAAAUGCUUCUGUCUACACGGAUAAGCUGUGAUGGGGAGGGAAAUAAUAGUACCGAAGUUCCUGAUGUCACACUGCCAAGAAAAGCUUCUAGUGAGAAAACAAUGACCCGUACCGCAAACCGACACAGGUAGUCGAGGAGAGAAUCCUAAGGUGAGCGAGAGAACUCUCGUUAAGGAACUCGGCAAAAUGACCCCGUAACUUCGGGAGAAGGGGUGCUGAUCUUUGAUCAGCCGCAGUGAAUAGGCCCAAGCGACUGUUUAUCAAAACACAGGUCUCUGCAAAAUCGUAAGAUGAAGUAUAGGGGCUGACGCCUGCCCGGUGCUGGAAGGUUAAGAGGAGUGCUUAGCGUAAGCGAAGGUACGAAUUGAAGCCCCAGUAAACGGCGGCCGUAACUAUAACGGUCCUAAGGUAGCGAAAUUCCUUGUCGGGUAAGUUCCGACCCGCACGAAAGGCGUAACGAUUUGGGCACUGUCUCAACGAGAGACUCGGUGAAAUUUUAGUACCUGUGAAGAUGCAGGUUACCCGCGACAGGACGGAAAGACCCCAUGGAGCUUUACUGUAGUUUGAUAUUGAGUGUCUGUACCGCAUGUACAGGAUAGGUAGGAGCCGUAGAAAUCGGAACGCUAGUUUCGAUGGAGGCGCUGGUGGGAUACUACCCCUGCGUUAUGGCCACUCUAACCCGCACCACUGAUCGUGGUGGGAGACAGUGUCAGAUGGGCAGUUUGACUGGGGCGGUCGCCUCCUAAAAGGUAACGGAGGCGCCCAAAGGUUCCCUCAGAAUGGUUGGAAAUCAUUCGAAGAGUGUAAAGGCAGAAGGGAGCUUGACUGCGAGACCAACAAGUCGAGCAGGGACGAAAGUCGGGCUUAGUGAUCCGGUGGUUCCGCAUGGAAGGGCCAUCGCUCAACGGAUAAAAGCUACCCUGGGGAUAACAGGCUUAUCUCCCCCAAGAGUCCACAUCGACGGGGAGGUUUGGCACCUCGAUGUCGGCUCGUCGCAUCCUGGGGCUGUAGUCGGUCCCAAGGGUUGGGCUGUUCGCCCAUUAAAGCGGCACGCGAGCUGGGUUCAGAACGUCGUGAGACAGUUCGGUCCCUAUCCGUCGCGGGCGUUGGAAAUUUGAGAGGAGCUGUCCUUAGUACGAGAGGACCGGGAUGGACUUACCGCUGGUGUACCAGUUGUUCUGCCAAGGGCAUUGCUGGGUAGCUAUGUAGGGAAGGGAUAAACGCUGAAAGCAUCUAAGUGUGAAGCCCACCUCAAGAUGAGAUUUCCCAUUUCUUUAAGAAAGUAAGAUCCCUGAGAGAUGAUCAGGUAGAUAGGUCAGGAGUGGAAGGCCAGUGAUGGUUGGAGCGGACUGAUACUAAUCGAUCGAGGACUUAACCAAA